UACAGAGGGUGCAAGCGUUGUUCGGAAUUACUGGGCGUAAAGGGCUCGUAGGCGGCCAACUAAGUCGGACGUGAAAUCCCUCGGCUUAACCGGGGAACUGCGUCCGAUACUGGAUGACUUGAGUUCGGGAGAGGGAUGCGGAAUUCCAGGUGUAGCGGUGAAAUGCGUAGAUAUCUGGAGGAACACCGGUGGCGAAGGCGGCAUCCUGGACCGACACUGACGCUGAGGAGCGAAAGCCAGGGGAGCAAACGGG
rnacentral:rRNA from 1 species